rnacentral:RNase_P_RNA from 1 species
CGAGAUGGUUGCGGGCUGCUAACCCCAGUCCGAGGAAAGUCCGGGCUUCCGAAAGACCAAACUUGCUGGCUAAUCACCAGUGCGAGCGAUCGCGAGGAUAGUGCCACAGAAACAUACCGCCCUCAGCACUGCAGAUUUUGGAUUGAGGAUUUGAGAUUCAACCAUGAAUCUCAAAAUUCAACAAUCAACAAUCCCUGAGGGUAAGGGUGCAAAGGUGCGGUAAGAGCGCACCAGCAGCAUCGAGAGGUGCUGGCUCGGUAAACCCCGGUUGGAAGCAAGGCAGAAGGAGCAACGGUUGGUCUUUUACCAGCUCCAGUA